UACAUCUAUAUAUAUGUCUUAUUUUAUAUACAGAAAAAAAAAUUAAUGAACGAAAAAAAAAUUAUAUUUUCUUGUAUUUAGAAUCUUUAAAUCUGCUUCUACCAUUUGCUGCAUUCAUACAUGAGGAGACCACACAAGUUGUCUCGUCUUCUUUAUCCUCACCUUCUUCCCUCUUCCCUACAACACCCCUCGAUGAGCAGCUCGGCACAGACGAAAAGGUCUUGCAAGAAUCAAAUGGACAAGCCACCCACAAAAGCUAGACCACUUUCCUUUUCCUUCGCUCAAGGAAUACAACGAAGGCAAGAGAGAGAGAGAGAGAGAGAGAGAUCUGUGUCUCCUCUUCACCUCUGGUUCCUUCUCCAUCAGAAGAAGAUUAAGAACUACAAGAACACAACUCUUCCUGUGGAUCAUUUCGAUAUCUUUUUCCUUUCCUUUAGCUCAAGAGAAAACUAAAGAAUAUCAAAGUGCAGAUGAAAGAUGAGAGCAAACCCACUAACCUUCUUCCUCACGGUAGAUCUUCCAAGGACUCCAUUGCCUUCUGGUUCCAAGCAAAACCAGAAAAGGAUGAGAAGCAGCAACUCCCCGUAUGUCCUUCCUCGCCAGAGAGAGAGAGAGAGAGAGAGAGAGAGAGAGAUUUGUGUCUCCUCUUCACCUCUGCUUCCUUCUCCAUCAGAAGAAGAUUAAGAACUACAAGAACACAACUCUUCCUGUGCAUCAUUUCGAUAUCUUUUUCCUUUCCUUUAGCUCAAGAGAAAACUAAAGAAUAUCAAAGUGCAGAUGAAAGAUGAGAGCAAACCCACCAACCUUCUUCCUCACGGUGGAUCUUCCAAGGACUCCAUUGCCUUCUGGGCCCAAGCAAAACCAGAAAAGGAUGAGGAGCAAAAACUCCCCGAACGUCCUUCCUCGCCACACACACACACACACACACACACAGAGGCUUUCUCCUCUUAGCCUCUGUUCCCUCUUAUGCUCCACCAGGAAGAAGAACAAGAAGUAGAGAAGAGAAAGAAAGGGUUCGUUGCUCCUCUUUCGCUUCAAGAACACAACAACAAAGCCCACCCUCUCUGUCUCCUUCCUGCACAUCAUUUCAAGAAAACGGAACUGCGGAUGAAAGGCAAUAGAGAAAUNNNN
rnacentral:lncRNA from 1 species